rnacentral:misc_RNA from 1 species
GAUCAAUUCAGUUGCAUUAAACAUUGGAAACUAUUGGUCAUCAACUGGGGUGGUGUCAGCAUGGAUAAUACACUAAAAGAACCAUAGAAAAUCACACAACACAGACUAGUACCAUCCUAGAGCACCAACACGCUGUUAUUGAAUCCCGCGAACAAAAUGGGAUUCCCACCAAGGUAACAGCCAUGACACGGGCAAGUAUAGGAACCAGUUGUUGUUUCUUGAUUUUCCUCAUGGUGGUGGAGCUCCGG